GGGGGUGCAGCUCAGUGGUAGAGCAUAUGCUUAGAAUGCCCAAGGUCCUGGGUUCAAUCCCCAGUACUUUCA
rnacentral:tRNA from 1 species